UAGGGAAUCUUCGNCAAUGGGGGCAACCCUGACCGAGCAACGCCGCGUGAGUGAAGAAGGUUUUCGGAUCGUAAAGCUCUGUUGUAAGAGAAGAACGAGUGUGAGAGUGGAAAGUUCACACUGUGACGGUAACUUACCAGAAAGGGACGGCUAACUACGUGCCAGCAGCCGCGGUAAUACGUAGGUCCCGAGCGUUAUCCGGAUUUAUUGGGCGUAAAGCGAGCGCAGGCGGUUAGAUAAGUCUGAAGUUAAAGGCUGUGGCUUAACCAUAGUACGCUUUGGAAACUGUUUAACUUGAGUGCAGAAGGGGAGAGUGGAAUUCCAUGUGUAGCGGUGAAAUGCGUAGAUAUAUGGAGGAACACCGGUGGCGAAAGCGGCUCUCUGGUCUGUAACUGACGCUGAGGCUCGAAAGCGUGGGGAGCAAACAGGAUUAGAUACCCUGGUAGUCCACGCCGUAAACGAUGAGUGCUAGGUGUUGGGUCCUUUCCGGGACUCAGUGCCGCAGCUAACGCAUUUAAGCACUCCGCCUGGGGAGUACGACCGCAAGGUUG
rnacentral:rRNA from 1 species